AUUGAACUCUGGCGGCAGGCUUAACACAUGCAAGUCGAGCGAGCGGCGGACGGGUGAAUAAUGUCUGGGCACCUGCCUGAUGGAGGGGGAUAACUACGGGAAACGGUAGCUAAAGCCGCUAACAAUCAUAUCUGCCCAGGUGGGAUUAGCUAGUAGGUGGGGUAAUGGCUCACCUAGGCGACGAUGCCUAGCGGGUCUGAGAGGAUGACCAGCCACACUGGAACUGAGACACGGUCCAGACUCCUACGGGAGGCAGCAGUGGGGAAUAUUGCACAAUGGGCGCAAGCCUGAUGCAGCCAUGCCGCGUGUGUGAAGAAGGCCUUCGGGUUGUAAAGCACUUUCAGCGAGGAGGCGGUACUCGCAGAAGAAGCACCGGCUAACUCCGUGCCAGCAGCCGCGGUAAUUC
rnacentral:rRNA from 1 species